AUGAGUGGGUCCUGGGCUGUUCUGGCCUGCUCGCUGGCACUCACUCCCUGUGUCUCUUCACCCUUAGCUGCAGUUAGCUUGUCCUCAGCAUCAUUUCCUCAGUCGGCAUCGUGGCCACCAGGUCCUUCACACUCAGGAUCUGUGUCCUAUGCUGGGGCCCAGAACUCUGCUCUCCACUUUCUCAAGGACCUCGGAGCUUUCAGUGUGUGCGGAGGCAGGGCCCAGCCCCUUUUCUCCCUUACAUUUUCUACAUGGUCUCCCCAGCUGGCUGUUGUCUACUCACUUCUGGUCCCUCCCAGCCUUGUUUUCUCAUCCACUUCUCAUCCCGCUGCUAACCUCCCAGCUAGACUUGGGCAAGGCCCUUUCUCUGGGCCUCAGUUUCCUUUCCUGGACAAGGAGGAGGACAACUGGACAGGAGUUGUUACUGCCAUUACAAAGAUAUCCCAUGCUUGCUGUAACACAUCAGAUCAUUCAACAAUAAGAAAUGUCUAACAAAAAAUUGCCAGUUAAUUAGUACCUCACUGUCAUCCUAAUUCCUGUGUAUAAUAACAGUGACUGCACCUUUAGCAGCUGACUGUGCAUUUUUUUCUAGGUAUCAGUUAUAUAUAGAGAGACAUGUAUAAAAUAGUAUAUAAUAUACAUGCAUACAGAUUCACAGAUGUACUUUGGUUCGUGAUGAGAUUGUAUUGUGCACAUUUUUCUGCAACUUGCUUUCUUUAUUCAACAGUAAAUCUUGCAGGUAAUUCCACACUGGUGUACAUAGAUAGAAUCCAUUCAUUUAAUUUAUUUACUUACAGAUUUACCAACAUACAGCACUGUGUAAGUUUAAGGUGCACAGCAUAAUGAUUUGACUUAUAUAUACAUCAUGAAAUGAUCAUUGCAAUGUUUAGCGAACAUCCAUCAUCUCAUAUAGAUUCAAAAUUAACAGAGAAAAAUUCUUCAUUAAUGAGAACUCAUAGAAUUUACACUCUGAACAACUUUCAAACAAUAUAUAACAUACAUCAGUGUUAAUGUGUUAACUAUAUUUAUCAUUUUGUACAUUACAACCUUAUUACUUAUUUAUCUUAUAAUUGGGAGUUUGUGCAUUUUGACGGCCUUCAUCCAGUUCCGCCUCUGACCACCCACACAUCUGAUCUCUUUUUUUUAUGAGUUUGUGUGAUUGCAUUUUUCAAAGUAUCAUUGAUCAACAACACUGUCUUAGCUCCUGUUACUCACCUUAGUGAUUUGAUGUGUCUAUACAUUUCAAAAUGAUCACCAUGAUAAGCCUAGUUGUCAUCUGGCACCAUGCAAAGAUAUUACCUAAUUGACUCUAAUUCCCUACUCUAUUCAUUUCAUAUCUGUCACUCACUUAUUUUCCAACUGGCUGUUUGUACUUAAUCUCUCUCAUCUAUUUUUUUCCUGUCCCAACCUCCACGCCUCUGAUAACCAUCUUUUUGCUCUCUGUAUCUAUAAUUCUGCUUCUGUUUUGCUAUAUUCUGCUUCUGUUUGUUCAUUUGGUUUUAGACUCCACAUAUAUGUGAAAUUAUACAGUAUCUGUCUUUCUCUAACUUCUUUCACUAGGCAUAAUACCAUCCAGGUGGACCAUGUUGUCAUAAAUGGCAAGAUUUCAUUCUUUUUAUGACUAAUAUUCCAUUUUGUGUGCAGAUAGA
ensembl:lncRNA